UACGGAGGGUGCAAGCGUUAAUCGGAAUUACUGGGCGUAAAGCGCACGUAGGUGGUUUGUUAAGCUAGCUGUGAAAUCCCCGGGCUCAACCUGGGCACUGCAGUUAGAACUGGCAAGCUAGAGUAGGGUAGAGGGGUGUGGAAUUCCGAGGUGUAGCGGUGAAAUGCGUAGAUAUCUGGAGGAACACCGGUGGCGAAGGCGGCAUCCUGGACCAACACUGACACUGAGGAGCGAAAGCCAGGGGAGCAAACGGGAGUUAGAAU
rnacentral:rRNA from 1 species